UACGUAGGGGGCAAGCGUUGUCCGGAUUUAUUGGGCGUAAAGAGCGUGUAGGCGGCCUUACAAGUCAGCUGUGAAAACUCGAGGCUCAACCUCGAGACGUCGGUUGAAACCGUAAGGCUAGAGUCCGGAAGAGGAGAGUGGAAUUCCCGGUGUAGCGGUGAAAUGCGCAGAUAUCGGGAAGAACACCCGUGGCGAAGGCGGCUCUCUGGGACGGUACUGACGCUGAGACGCGAAAGCGUGGGGAGCGAACAGG
rnacentral:rRNA from 1 species